rnacentral:rRNA from 1 species
GACGAACGCUGGCGGCGUGCUUAACACAUGCAAGUCGAACGGAAAGGCCCUGCUUGCAGGGUGCUCGAGUGGCGAACGGGUGAGUAACACGUGGGUGAUCUGCCCCUUACUUUGGGAUAAGCCUGGGAAACUGGGUCUAAUACUGGAUAGGACCAUGCUGUAGGUGGUGUGGUGGAAAGAUUGGUUUCGGUAAGGGAUGAGCUCGCGGCCUAUCAGCUUGUUGGUGGGGUAAUGGCCUACCAAGGCGUCGACGGGUAGCCGGCCUGAGAGGGUGGACGGCCACAUUGGGACUGAGAGACGGCCCAGACUCCUACGGGAGGCAGCAGUGGGGAAUAUUGCACAAUGGGCGCAAGCCUGAUGCAGCGACGCCGCGUGGGGGAUGACGGCCUUCGGGUUGUAAACUCCUUUCAGCCAUGACGAAGCCCUUGUGGUGACGGUAGUGGUAGAAGAAGCACCGGCUAACUACGUG